GGCGCUUUAGCUCAGCUGGAUAGAGCAACUGCCUUCUAAGCAGUAGGUCGACAGUUCGAUUCUGCCAAGCGUCA
rfam:Treponema bryantii strain B25 genome assembly, contig: Ga0070255_101